rnacentral:rRNA from 1 species
UACGGAGGGGGCAAGCGUUGUCCGGAAUCACUGGGCGUAAAGCGCCCGUAGGCGGCCUGUUGCGUCGGUGCUGAAAGCGCCCGGCUUAACCGGGCGAGGUGUGCCGAUACGAGCAGGCUUGAGGCAGGCGGAGGGUGGCGGAAUUCCGGGUGUAGUGGUGAAAUGCGUAGAGAUCCGGAGGAACGCCUGUGGCGCAAGCGGCCACCUGGGCCUGUCCUGACGCUGAGGGGCGAAAGCGUGGGGAGCGAACCGG